GCACUCUCAGAGUGUGGAGCCCUUACGUUCCAGUGAGUAGGGAGGUGUAGUGGUGAGCGUUGAAGGGUCUGGGCGUGAGCCUGCCUGGAGCCGCCACUGGCACAGAUCUUGGUGGUAGUAGCAAAUACUCAAGUGAGACCCUUGAGGGCUGACGUGGAGAAGGGUUCCAUGUGAACAGCACUUGCACAUGGGUGAGUCGAUCCUAAGCCUAAGGCGAAAGCUGAUCCUACACACUUGGGCCGCACGAAUGAAGCUCGCUUCGACUGUGAGCGCCCGUAGGAGUCAGGCGAAAGGGAAUCCGGUACUCAUUCCGGAACCUGGAUGUGGGGAGUAGUGUCGCCUCGUGCGUCACCUAGCCGUAAGGCGUUUACCAUCCCGGAGAUGUCCAACUGGAGGGCCGGGAAGAGUUGUCUUUUCUGGUUAAGGGGCCGAGGGCCUUGUGAAUCGGGUCGGUCGGAGAGAGGGUCUUGGCCCCGAAGAGCGCCGCGGUUCUUGCGGCGUCCGCGCUCCUCCAGUGUGGAACUUGAAAAUCCGGGGGGGGAGAAUGCGUACCUUCACACCAGUUCGUACCCAUAUCCGCAUCUGGUCUCCGAGGUGAACA
rnacentral:rRNA from 1 species